AGUUGGGCACCUGGUGUUGAGGAUUAUCACCUGAAAAUCUGUUCCUGCGCAUACUCCUGAGAAGUGGUCUUGAAUUCACGUGGCUUUGUUUUUCUCACAGGUCAGUGUCCUAACAUUGGAAGACUACCUUGGAUUUUACCUGUUAUAUCGCCAAAAUAACUGACUUGACCUGAUUUUACAAGCCAGAUUUGUGUGUCUGCAACAUACUUUAGGUGACUUUCUAGGUGUGUUUUGUUCAGUUUCAAGGACAGAAUGAGAGCGGCAGACUAUGAAGUGAUUAGAGACAUGGCUUCCCAGGAACCCUCGAAUGGACCAAUGUGCAGAAAAAACAGAAGCCCGAUGGGGUCACUGGAGGAUAAGAAUGAACCGAGUGGUGAAAACGUUGAAAGGAUUUGAAAUUCACCUUCACAAGGAGCUUCUUUUGAUGGUGGAAAUAGCUCAUUUGUUGUCUCCAUGGCUAUAGAAUAAGACAGAAGGGAGUGAAAACUUGAGAAACAGCCAGCAAUUGAAGCAGGCGGUAAGCCCAAACUGACUGUGUGCCUAUGCAACAGAGGGAGCAUGUCUUGAAUGUAAUAUGAUUAAAAAAAUAGGCUUAAAGCAGGCCUGUUUUCUGGUGUGCUUUUUGCACAGUGCAGUACAUGUUAAUUAGAGCUUUAGCGCAGCUUCUCAGCAAACAUAAUUUUCCCUCAAAGAGAGAGAAACAAGGAGAAGGAGAAUUUUGAUGCUGGAAAUAAGGUACUAUGAAUAAGAAUCAGCAACAAUGGAUUUAAUUUAAGCUGGACUGGAAAUUGUUGCAGCUUUAUUUUAUUUUAUUUAUUUAUUUAUUAUAAAGGAAACCUAUGUGUCAGCUUCUAGUAGUGACAGAGAUGCUGAGAAUUGACAUGUGAGGAUAAUGUGAUAAUAUAGAGACACCAGGGAGUGUGUGUACACAAAAAUGCAUCUCAGUCAGGCAGAAAGCCAUGCUGUGAUUUCAGCAGAAAGCUAUGAGAGGAAAUCAAUAACUUUCAGAAGGCCCCACAGUAAAGCAAUAACAUUAUCUGCCCUUUCUUCAUUCUGCUUCUCCCUUCCCC
rnacentral:lncRNA from 1 species